ACACCCUGAAAUUGUGGUGCGCGGGUUGGAGUGGGUUGGAACAAGCCAACAAGCAAAGCAUCAUUCGAUCACUUCGUCUCCAACUCCAAAAGGAAUACCACCUUUCAUCAAAAACUCCAAGCUUGUAACCACACCGGUUAUACAAUGCACAGUGGAUCCACCACGAUGGACGCCAAUCGUAUAAAGCAUCCAAACAAAAGAAACAAUGCUGCUCCAACUGGCUGAGCUACCUGAAAAUUACAAUUGAUUCAUCAUCAAUAUCAUAUGAUAUGAAACUAAGCAUCGACUUGAUUCAACCAUGACCACGUUGAUCAUUCAGCACCACGUGUUUUGGAUUAUUGGAAAGGCGUAGCAUCUAUUCCAAAGCAUCUCUUCAUAAUUAAUAUAAUGAUGCUUUAACCAUGAGGGGCAAACACAAACCCUGGUGAUCAAUCAGCACCACCAGCAUCAUUUCUUCUAUCAUCAAGAUGUCUUGAAGGAUAUAAUUAACACAUGCAGUCUUGAUGCUCAUUCAACAUCAUCAGCAUACUAUUUUCAAGGUGACAAUUUGGUAUCAAACACUCCAAAUUUUCUCAUCAAACAUUUUGGAUUUUUUCACAACAAAAAAGACUUGACCAAAAUAACUAGAACAACAAUGCAGUCAUCAAUUCCAUCAUCUUCAAUUCCCGUAAGUUUCAUUUAAUAAUUAAAAAAUAGUGACAAUAAAAUAUUAAAUGAUGC
rnacentral:lncRNA from 1 species